UUCCCUUUUCUUCAGCUCAAAAUCAACUGAAAGAGAAAACCAAACGGAAAGAAAUCAGAGAAAUCGAGAGAAACAAUAAAUCAAAUCAAAACCUAAAAUUAAAUAAAAAUUAUUCUACUGAUUGUGACUUUGUGAACCUAAAAUUCGUAAACCAAAUUCUUCCCUUAAACCAAAUUGAUUUUUAUUUUUAGCUUGAAACUCUCAGAAGAAGAUUGAAUUUUUAGAAGUACAAACCGUAGAAAAUCUCAGAAUAAUAUUGAGGUGUAUAUUAUAGAAGAUUCAAUUACAAAUCCUUGAAGAUUCAGGUCGUUAAAGAGAACCAGAUUCUAUAUAAAGGUUCUCUUGGUCUAUUGUUAGCUUCAUUGGCGACUAUUGUUGGCUUCAAUGCUGUGAUGACCUCGGAACACUUCAUAUUAUUUUUGGCUGGGAUGAAUGCGGAAAAGGUGUUGCCACUUGCUAUACAUACGGGUUCGGAUUUUUAUGUAUGGUUAAAAUCCCAAGUUCUUGGAAUGGCUCUUGGGAUCCAAUGAUUUGAUAGGUAGUUGUUGUUAGAGUUGUUUUCAGUGUUAUUACUUUUUUUUCUCAUCUAUCAAGAAAUGAUGUUUCUUUUACAUUCUCAUCGAGGAAGCUGAAGAUCAGUGUGCCUUACUGAACUUAGACUGAUUAUGUGUAAGUUGAAAUACUAAAAUACGAUUGAUAUGUUUUGGUUCAUAGACUUAACAAAAUUGUAAUGUUACAAUCCUCGUUUUAAUUGUUGUUGUUGGGUUUGAUUUUGAA